CCUCUCGUGGCGUAGGGGUAACGCGCUCUAACUAGAGAUCGUGAGAUGCGAGUCGUGAGUUCGAUUCUCACCGAGAAGA
rnacentral:tRNA from 1 species